rnacentral:antisense_RNA from 1 species
GAUAGCCAAAAAUCACCGCUGGGUUCAAAGUCGGGUUAGUAAUUACCCGUACAGCGCCACCACCGGGAGCCCAAGUAUCAUACAAACCACCAAAAGCCAUCGCCUUAGCCACUAACAAAAGAGCACCAAAACCCAAAAUAAUCAGGUGGUAGCCCAAAAUAUUAGUCAUCUGGUUCUUGUCUUUCCA